rnacentral:rRNA from 1 species
GCUAACGGCUGAACUGGCAACUUGGAGAAGUGGCAAGUCUUCCAGUAUGGGGAGCAAAACAGCUAUGGGUCAAGUCCGAUAUCUUUAGGAGAAGUCUUAUUGUGAGGGCGAGUUAUAUAACACCAUAGGACUGGCCGUCCCAUAUGAAAAGAUUAUAUUAGAAUUGAAUGAAGCUUUGUUUAUAUAUUGAUAAUGACAGUAUAUAUAUCGUGUCUUGACUAAUUGCGUGCCAGCAGUCGCGGUAAUACGUAAGAGACUAGUGUUAUUCAUCUUAAUUAGGUUUAAAGGGUACCCAGACGGUCAAUAUAGCUUAUAAAAUGUUAGUACUUGACUAGAGUUUUAUGUAAGAGGGCAGUACUUGAGGAGGAGAGAUGAAAUUUCGUGAUACCAAAGGGACUCUGUAAAGGCGAAGGCAGCCCUCUAUGUAAAAACUGACGUUGAAGGACGAAGGCACAGAGAACAAACAGGAUUAGAUACCCAAGUAGUCUUUGCAGUAAAUGAUGAAUGCCAUAGGUUAGAUUGAUCAAUUAUAGUCUAGGGUUAGUCUAGCAAACUAAUGCCCUAUGAAAUAAUUCAAAAUAUCUGGUCUAUAAAUGAAAGUGUAAGCAUUUCACCUCAAGAGUAAUGUGGCAACGCAGGAACUGAAAUCACUAGACCGUUUCUGACACCAGUAGUGAAGUAU